rnacentral:sRNA from 1 species
UGUCGAUAAGGCGAGUGACGCCAACCUA